GACGAACGCUGGCGGCGUGCUUAACACAUGCAAGUCGAGCGGAAAGGCCCUGCUUGUGUGGGGUGCUCGAGUGGCGAACGGGUGAGUAACACGUGAGUAACCUGCCCUUGACUUUGGGAUAAGUUCAGGAAACUGGGGCUAAUACCGUACAGGAUCUCCUGCUGCAUGGUGGGGGGUGGAAAGUUGGGGCGGGCGUGGAUGGACUGGCGGCUUAUGGGCUAGCUGGUGGGGUAGUUGCUUGCCAAGGCUUUGACGGGUAGCCGGCCGGUGAGGGUGACCGGCCACCCUGGGACUGAGGUGCGGCACAGACUCCUACGGGAGGCAGCAGUGGGGAAUAUUGCACCAUGGGCGGAAGCCUGAUGCAGCAGCGCCGCGUGCGGGAUGGCGGCCUUCGGGUUAUAAACCGCUUUCGCCUGUGACGAAGCGUGAGUGACGGUAAUGGGUAAAGAAGCACCGGCUAACUACGUG
rnacentral:rRNA from 1 species